UCCAUUCCCAACCCACUCCUAAUCUGUACCCCACCCAGCAGUGGCCUCUGAGGGCCCAAACCGCUGUGAGACCAUAUACCAAGGCUUUGCUGAAUGUCUCAUCCGCCUGGGGGAUGGCAUGGGCCGAGGAGGCGAGCUACAGACCGUCUGCAGAUCCUGGAAUGAAUUCCACGCCUGUGCCUCUCGGGUCCUGUCAGGCUGCCCAGAGGAGGCUGCUGCAGUGUGGGAGUCACUGCAGCAAGAAGCUCGCCGUGCCCCACACCCAGAUAACUUGCACAUCCUCUGUGGCGCUCCUGUGAGUGUUCGGGAGCGGAUUGCUGGCCCAGAGACCAACCAGGAGACACUACGGGCCACAGCUCCUGCCCUGGCUUCAGCCCCAGCCCCUGCGUUGCUCGCUGCUGCUCUGGCGCUUGCCUGCCUCCUGGGGCCUCUGGCCUAAACAGUCUGGUUGGCCAGCCAACAGUGCCCUUGCCUCCCAUCACUGCAUGCAGUGAGUGGCUGCCAUGUGAGCUCUGCAGAAUAUGCACACUUUUCAUUAAAGGUAUUUAUAUUUACAAC
rnacentral:lncRNA from 1 species